UCGCCGAAGGAGGAUCGGAGCAGCUCCGGAAGCCGGUGCCGGAGCGCGCUGGGCUCAGGCCGCUAGGGGCUGCUCUCCGGCCGGCGCUGAGGGCGCGGGCCCGGCUGUGCGUGGGCAGGGCGCGGCGGGGGGCGAGGCCUGCUGAGCAAACUGCUUCCCUGUCAGCGCGGUGCCGUUCCCACCCCAGUUCUCGUGUGAAACAGUUGUGAGUAGCUGUGGAACCAGAAGGAACAGAACACAGGGCAGCGGGAUGAGGCAAAAGGCAGACCCGGAUCUGGGAGCAGCAUUCAGCCUGGCUAGAUGAGCCCUGGUUCUGCUGCCCUUGGGGCCUGGGGAGCAGCAGGUGGGAAGAAGAUGUGCUGGCAGCGGCUGCAUGGAUUCACAUGGAGGGAUAUGAUCUUCCCCACUCCCACCUUUCUAUCUUUCUCCACUGGAACUGGCUUUGAGGUCCACAUCACUCCUGGAAAUACACUGCUGAGGUAUUCAGCAAAAAGCAGAGCAUCCAACCUAAUUCUUCUCUCCUCUGAAUGUUUCUGUUCUCUUAUGCUGCCUAAAUGUGAGUAUUUGUGAUGCCUAUACCCCAUUUCCUGCACUCCAUAUUGCCAUGCUUUGUGACUCUGCAUGAGGUAGCAAUGAAGGAGGAGAAGGAGGAGCAGGAUGGGAGGGCCCAGACUUGCCAGCAGUGGGGUGGGAUGUCCAGAAGCUGCCUGGGCCUGGCAUCCCGUCUGGGCUGAGGGAGCCGUGAAGCAAAAUCUGAGCAUAAGAGCUGCCUCUGAUUUAUGUCUACAGUAGCAAAGAGUUGGGCAGCAAGGAACAAGUAUCUCUGCCUAAAUGGUUUUUAGAACGCAAAUCACUUGAUGGAGUGAGAGGAGGGGAGAUGAGCUAGAAAAGCUGCCACUAUGUUUUAUUGUGCCAUUGACCCUGCCAAGGUGUGGGAGCAGAGAACCUGAUCUAUCAUGUUAUGGCUCUGCAGAAAGCAGCUGGAGCUUUCCACAGUGCUCCCGGUCCAUCCAAACAUAAAUGCGGACCCGGUUCCUUGGUCUGUGCAGAUACAAGCUACUAUGCAAAUGGACAACUGCCUGUCUCCUUCUGUACCCUUGCUACGUGUUUAUGGGCCUUAGGCAUGAAUGGAUCUUAGAACAUUGUGCGUGUUUGUCAUCAGGUCUUCAAACUAUAUCAGCCUUUGUCACUUGAAUGGUAAUAACUUUCUUAUCAUAAAUUUGUGAUAAUUACAUGCAAUUGUACCAAAUUAAAUUCUGUUUUUUCUGUGUUCUCCAUAGACAUUCAUACAACUUUACUCAAAUCUACCUCUACUGUGGCUCCCAGCUGCUUGCUUACAGCUGGUUUGCUGGUGAACUGAGACUUGCCCUUGUACAUAAGGACCAAAGCAAGGGAAGGUGUAGUAAAUGUCUAUUCCAUCUAUUGCAUUUGUGUUUUGCAACUAGUUAUUGCCUACACAAUUCUCAGAACAUCAAGCUUUCUAGACCAAGGAUUUUCUUUUCAUCCUUGUUUGUGUAGUUUCUAACACAAUGGAGUCCUAAUCCUUGUGUGCUGCAUUAUAAACCAACAAAUUAUUGUACCUUUUUGGUAGUAAAGAGAACAAACUAGACAGGAAGGAGAUUAAACUUUAUUUCUAAGGGCAGUACAGAGGAAAUGACUCAGAUGAACAUUCUGUGGUCUAAUGCACCUAAGUUUGCAGGUAGUAUAAAUGAUCUCUUAUAGGUUUCUUUGUCUUAAAGGAACACAGUACAUCCAAGGGAAAAAAAAAAAAAAAAAGCAUAGGCUUGGAGUAAGAAAUGGCCAGCAAAAGAAAGGAAGUCUCUUAUCUCAGCAAGAAUAAUCUUUGGAGAGCUGCAAAAAUUUGUGCCCAGAUCACUGCUAUUUCUAUUAGACAUGAAUUAAUCCAGACAAAUUUAGUGAUGUGAACUGGUUAAAAUGUUAAGACUGAAGUGUUUAGAGAGCAGAAUAAUCUAUGUAGGUUGCUCAAAAAGUUUGUUUUUGCUCCUGUUUAUUUCCAUUGAAAAUAUAACAAAGAGCACAGUAACACUAUUUGAUAGAACAAAUUCUCAGCUACAGAACACUAUUUUUCAACAUAGUCACCACUGUUAGCUACGCAUUUUUGCCAGCAAUGAACAAGAGCCUGCUUUCUGCGCUUGGAAAAAUCUGCGUGGCCAUCUGAAACAUGGCUUGGCUUUCACACUACUGUCACCACUGCUGAAAUGCACCACCUACAGCCUCCUCAUGCUCACAUCCACUGCUUGGUCUUCAGAAAUAUUCAGUAAGUAUUUACGAGUAUCCAUGGGUACCAUUUUUUCCACAUGGAGAAAUUCCAUUCCGCACCUUUUCUUCCUACACACUUCCAUGUCAGACACCAUUUUCUCAGGGUGUCCCUCAACUGCCAUUUGUUGCAUAGCAACAAAAUGUAAUGGAAUAUUGGCAGGAAGGUUCAACCUCUGCUGCCAUACCACUAACAUCUGCCUCUGAUGUCAUGGGCCAACAUAGUAAAAUAGGAGGCAUUAAUUUCAGGGCAGUCUUCGUAUAUGUGUAUUAGCUGGAGAAGCUAUCUAGAACAAAUGGAUUUUCAGGAAACAUUUUCUGACAAUAUGAUGUAAUCGAGCAGCAGGGAGGAGGUAGGAAAUGCAUUUUAGCAGACUGCCUUUGCUUCUAGUAUUAUUUGUUUCAUUCCCUCCCUUAUUUACCUUACAAUGUGGUGCAGGAAUUAACUACAGCAUGAGGAAAAAGUGACAUUCAUGGAAAAAAAAACCAAAAAACAAAUGCUGGUCAUAUUUGCAUAAAUGUGUGGGCACGAAGUUUUAUGCACAAACACGUUAAUCGGUUUGCAGUAGCUCUGCUUUUCAUCUUGUCUAUUAAGAACUUACAAUUUAAGCAGGGAAAAAGCAUGUGACUAGUUAUAUCCAAUUCUGCUCUUUUUAUUGUAUGCGAAGGCGAUUCACCAGGUGGUUCAUGUUUUGUAAGAAUGCAGUAUGUACUUCUGUAGCUCAAAGACUUUCCUGUUAGCUGAAAGCCAUGUUUGUGUAACUCACAAGUCGUAACGUGUUCAUUUCUUAUCCUUUCCGGGUUCUGAGGAUGUUUGAACAACGGUGUAGUCUGAACAAGUCUAGGAAACUAGUGUUCUUAAUUAAAAACUAUUUAUAUUGAAAAAAUGGAGAUAUGGCAAGGCAACACGAGUAGAAGACUGAGUUAUGUAGCUGGAAUGCUUUCCUAUUUCAUUCUACUUUGAAAUACAAAUACUGUUUUUCAAUAAAAAUAGUAGAAAUAAUAAACGUUUUCCAGCUGCUAUCAUGUCAUUCAUAAUAAAUAGCCUUCUUGGUCUGCAUUUGUUUCUGUUUGUAAGCUAUUCACAGAGUACUAUAAGCCUUAGCUAUGUUUAUUUGAGGACAUGCAGCAUAUUCAUCAGCCCAAGUCUUCUUCUCCUACUUUAACUGUUCCUCACUGUUGGUAAUAUGGGCUUUGUCAAGUCCUCCCAAAUGGGACUGCUUCUGGUUUCUAGUAAGGUGAAAUGUAGUAAGGAAUAGGAAAUCUGAAUUAAAGAUAGUUGAGUAAGCAGGAUAAACUCAAAUGUAUUUUUAAAGUUUAGGAGGUUAGCUACCCAAAUGUCUCCAAAUGAAAUUACCAAACUUUGUGCAUCACCCUUUCUACCACCAUUCAGAAGUGGUUCUACACACAAUAUGACAACAAUCAUUUUCUUGUGAAGUGAUUUUAGAAAACAGAUAUAGUUACGAGUGAGCAAAUGUUUGGAAAUUGAAUUUGAUAACUGAUGUGACAAUAUAAGAGGCCCUAAAAUCAUCUAAAUGUAUUUAUUUUCCUUGCUGUAGCAUUCACACUGCAUUUACUGCUACCAGUACUUUCCUUUUUAUAUAAAAUGCACACCUGAGCAGUGGAUACUGAACUGUGUCCUUGCCGUUAUGUUACUUAAGCAUUCCGUUUGCCCUGACUUCAUCCUGCAGUGACUUCUGUUGCUCCCAUCCACUAACUACACACCCACACCAUGCAUUCACUUUGUGACUAUGACAGGUUGAGUGCCUUCCUGUUCAGUCUCAUUUGCUCCAGCCACCUAUGUGCACCACAAUACAAAUAAUUACAGCUACAGUUCUCCAUUAUGUGUAAUUUGCUUGAAAAUAAAAAUUGUCAUAGAUCUGUGAAUUCCAAAUGAGUUUUGUGUGUUUGAACCAUGUAGCAAUUUAUAACAACUGAACAUCUGCCUUAAUACUGGAAACAAGUCUUUUGUUAGGAAGCAAAUUGAGAAUCCUUCUAUAUUGAGUAUGUGUGUCUGCAUUUUUCUGUUGUGCUCAUGCACGCAUGAUUGGAAGAAUAUUUCUUUGUGCAUUCAAAAGGUGAUACCAGGCAACAAUUUCAGGAGUAGGAAUUUGUCUGCCAUGGGGACAUCUUGAUAAUCAAACAUCAUUGGCAGGAGCAGAGUUGGUGUCUGCUUUUAAGGUUCCAACAGCUGAAGGCCAUGGAAUGGCUUUGUCCUUUCUGCUUGCAUUGCCUGUGGCAGAACUGAGAAAGGCAGAAUUAGAAACAGCUGCUGCAUGAGGAUGAGUGUGUGCAGGCAGCCCAGCACAGCCCAGCCAGAGUGCCCAUUCCUCCUCUC
rnacentral:lncRNA from 1 species